GACGAACGCUGGCGGCGUGCUUAACACAUGCAAGUCGAACGGAAAGGCCCUGCUUUUGUGGGGUGCUCGAGUGGCGAACGGGUGAGUAACACGUGAGUAACCUGCCCUUGACUUUGGGAUAACUUCAGGAAACUGGGGCUAAUACCGGAUAGGAGCUCCUGCUGCAUGGUGGGGGUUGGAAAGUUUCGGCGGUUGGGGAUGGACUCGCGGCUUAUCAGCUUGUUGGUGGGGUAGUGGCUUACCAAGGCUUUGACGGGUAGCCGGCCUGAGAGGGUGACCGGCCACAUUGGGACUGAGAUACGGCCCAGACUCCUACGGGAGGCAGCAGUGGGGAAUAUUGCACAAUGGGCGGAAGCCUGAUGCAGCAACGCCGCGUGCGGGAUGACGGCCUUCGGGUUGUAAACCGCUUUCGCCUGUGACGAAGCGUGAGUGACGGUAAUGGGUAAAGAAGCACCGGCUAACUACAUA
rnacentral:rRNA from 1 species